CCCCGCGCAGCCUCCGGGCCUGGGCUGAGGGGCCUGGACCCCCCCGUGGACCCCCCCAGCUCAGCCCCAGGGCCUGGGCUGAGGGGGCAGGACCCUCCCUACGACCCCGUCCGGCAUAGCCCCCGUGGCCUGGGCUGAGGGGGGCCUGAGUCUCCCUGGCCCCCCUGCCGUGGCCCCCCUGGCCUGGUCUAAGGGGGGCUGGACCCUCCCUGUGACCCCCCCGGUGCAUCGGUGGUGUCAACACCCGCCUGGGCUGAGCAGGGAGCAGACCUGAAAACCUCCCCUGGGCCCCCCCGCACUCGAGCCCUCCCCCACAGCCUCCCUCCCUCCCAACCCCCCUCUGCCCCCCAGUUCUGAGCCCCCCUUUCCUGGCUCUUUUUAUACCCCUGAGCUCCUCCCUCGGGUCCCCCAGUCUGAGCCUGGGGCCAGGAGACCCCAGGAGUCUGGGACCCCCAGCUCUUCGGUGUGGGGGUUUGCGCAGGGUUUUAACCGUGGAUCUUAACUUCUCUCCUGUCCCAGAGCCCCCCCGGUGGAGAGGGGGAGCCCCAGCGAGGGUGUGGGGGGGCCCCCUGGAUCUAGGGGGGCCGGGGUGUCCUGUGUGUUGUACAGGGCAGCUGCUGUCACGUCAAUAAAGUUGGUUUGAAAUUG